CCAUCUCUUACUAAAAAUACAAAAAAUUAUUGGGGCAUGGUGGCAGGAGCCUGUAAUCCCAGCAACUCGGGAGGCUGAGGCAGAAGAAUCGCUUGAACCCAGGCCAGAGGUUGCAGUGAGCUGAAAUUGAGCCACUGCAUUCCAGCCUGGGUGACAGAGUGAGACUCCAUCUCAAAAAAAACAAACAAGGCUGGGCGCGGUGGCUUACGCCUGUAAUCCCAGCACUUUGGGAGGCUGAGGCGGGCAGAUCACGAGGUCAGGAGAUUGAGACCAUCCUGGUGA
rnacentral:lncRNA from 1 species